AACGAACGCUGGCGGCAUGCCUAACACAUGCAAGUCGAACGAGACCUUCGGGGCUAGUGGCGCACGGGUGCGUAACGCGUGGGAACCUGCCCUUAGGUUCGGAAUAACUCCCCGAAAGGGGUGCUAAUACCGGAUAAUGUCUUCGGACCAACGAUUUAUCGCCUUUGGAUGGGCCCGCGUUGGAUUAGCCAGUUGGUAGGGUAAAAGCCUACCAAGGAGACGUUCCAUAGCUGGUCUGAGAGGAUGCUCAGCCACAAUGGGACUGAGACACGGCCCAGACUCCUACGGGAGGGAGGAGUGGGGAAUACUGGACAAUGGGCGAAAGCCUGAUACAGCAAUGACGCGGGAGUGAUGAAGGCCUUAGGGUUGUAAAGCUCUUUUACCCGGGAUGAUAAUGACAGUAACGGGAGAAUAAGCGCCGGCUAACUACGUG
rnacentral:rRNA from 1 species